ACUCACAAGCAACUUGGGGCUACGGUUGGAUUUUAUUCUGCUUUCUGUUCCAGUGUGCACUUUGGGCCUGAAAUGUCGUAGAUGCUCAGGAAAGACUAGUGCACCUUUCAAACUGGUCAAGAUCCACUACCCUGAUUUUCUGACCUGUGAAUACACCGUGAACCCGGGUGUGUGAAGAUGUUUGAGAUGCUUGCGGUGGAUCUGAAGGAAGACUGGGAAGUUUUCUGAUGGAUAAAAGGAGGAAUAAAGUAUUUCAUGAAGGA